UACAGUAUCUAACUGUAACUACGUAUGAUCCAUUGCCUGCAAGGAUCACCUCUUCUGAGUGGCGAAAUAAAACUCCCGUAGCCUGCAAGGGAGAGCAUCGCAAUGCGGUACAUCUGCGCACUUUUGGAAGCAGAUAUCGUCAGACAAAUAACUC
rnacentral:sRNA from 1 species